rnacentral:rRNA from 1 species
UGGGGAAUCUUCCGCAAUGGACGAAAGUCUGACGGAGCAACGCCGCGUGAGUGAAGACGGCCUGCGGGUGGGAAAGCGCUGUGAUCCGGGACGAAAGAGCCUGAGGGAAAUAGCCUAAGGAAGUGACGGUACCGGAAAAGCAAGCCACGGCUAACUACGGGCCAGCAGCCGCGGUAAUACGUAGGUGGCAAGCGUUGUACGGAAUUAUUGGGCGUAAAGCGCGCGCAGGCGGCUUACUAAGUCCAUCUUAAAAGUGCGGGGCUUAACCCCGUGAUGGGAUGGAAACUGGAAAGCUGGAGUAUCGGAGAGGAAAGUGGAAUUCCUAGUGUAGCGGUGAAAUGCGUAGAGAUUAGGAAGAACACCGGUGGCGAAGGCGACUUUCUGGACGAAAACUGACGCUGAGGCGCGAAAGCGUGGGGAGCAAACAGG